CUGAGGGAAGAGGGUUGAGGUCUGGAAAGCCGUCGCUAUGGGUGAAGGCCAGUGCUGGCAGAGGGUCUCAGAAGGGUACCUAAAACUGAACCAAAAAAAUCUCCACAUGCAGACCAAGAGAAGAGUGAAGAGAGACUGUGACCACUUCCUCAUUCCUGGGAAGCCUCUCUUAAUGAUCUAACACUGAAGAACAGCAUUGUGGAGUCAGGAACAAUUUGGACAAUUACAAAAUAAAAUAACCCAAGAAACAACAGUUCAACGGGUCCACAUAAAGUCCAUAUCAAAUGC